rnacentral:lncRNA from 1 species
UUUUUUUUUCUCUUUUUUUUAUGUUAGGAUAUGAAAUCAAAAUUGAAGCGAUGGAGUUAGUUAUAUGUUUUUUUGUGAAAAGUAAUCUGAAUCAGUGUUCUGUUUCAAUGAGGACAUUUAUCUUUGGAACAAACCUGUAAACUUAUUAUUAUUUCCCUGCAUGAUAGUUGUUACAUUAGUCAAGCUAAUAAAAGACAAUCCUAUCUUCUCAAUGAAAGUGUACCUGUUCAAGUACAGAUACCCAAGACUUAUGAAUUCUAAUAUUUUUUUACAUAAGGUGGUACCAAACACCUUGUCUAAAAUUAAUUUGACUUGUUAAUUUUAAUAAAACUUUG